rnacentral:rRNA from 1 species
UACGUAGGAGGCAAGCGUUGUCCGGAGUUACUGGGCGUAAAGGGCCCGCAGGCGGUGGAGUAAGUUUGGAGUGACAGUUCCCAGCUUAACCGGGAAAGGAUUUCGAAAACUGCUCGACUUGAGGACUGGAGAGGAAGGCGGAAUUCCGGGUGGAGCGGUGAAAUGCGUAGAGAUCCGGAGGAACACCGACGGCGAAGGCAGCCUUCUGGAAAGUACCUGACGCUGAGGGGCGAAAGCUAGGGGAGCGAACGGG